UGUACGGCCACAGGCUUGUCCGGAGACGUCGGCGGGAGCCUCAGGAAGAGUUAUAUUUUCUGUUUAACAGCUUGCCCACCCUGGAAUCGGCUCAGCCGGCGGUAGGGUCCAGCGGAUGGAAGAGCACCGCACGUCGCGUGGUGUCGUGUGCGCUCCCGACGCCCCUUGAAAAUCCGGAGGACCGAAU
rnacentral:ncRNA from 1 species